GCAAGUCGAGGGGUAGCAGGGAGCUUGCUCCGCUGACGACCGGCGAACGGGUGCGUAACGCGUAUAGAACUUACCUUUUACUGAGGGAUAGCCUUUAGAAAUGAAGAUUAAUACCUCAUAGUAUUGAGACUUGGCAUCAAGACUUAAUUAAAGAUUUAUCGGUAAAAGAUGGCUAUGCGUCCUAUUAGCUAGAUGGUAAGGUAACGGCUUACCAUGGCAACGAUAGGUAGGGGCCCUGAGAGGGGGAUC
rnacentral:rRNA from 1 species